rnacentral:rRNA from 1 species
GAUGAACGCUGGCGGCGUGCCUAAUACAUGCAAGUCGAGCGAACAGACGAGGAGCUUGCUCCUCUGACGUUAGCGGCGGACGGGUGAGUAACACGUGGAUAACCUACCUAUAAGACUGGGAUAACUUCGGGAAACCGGAGCUAAUACCGGAUAAUAUAUUGAACCGCAUGGUUCAAUAGUGAAAGACGGUUUUGCUGUCACUUAUAGAUGGAUCCGCGCCGCAUUAGCUAGUUGGUAAGGUAACGGCUUACCAAGGCAACGAUGCGUAGCCGACCUGAGAGGGUGAUCGGCCACACUGGAACUGAGACACGGUCCAGACUCCUACGGGAGGCAGCAGUAGGGAAUCUUCCGCAAUGGGCGAAAGCCUGACGGAGCAACGCCGCGUGAGUGAUGAAGGUCUGCGGAUCGUAAAACGCUGUUAUUAGGGAAGAACAAAUGUGUAAGUAACUAUGCACGUCUUGACGGUACCUAAUCAGAAAGCCACGGCUAACUACGU